rnacentral:rRNA from 1 species
UACGACUACAUAUCAGGCAUAUCAAUAAGCGGAGGAAAAGAAACUAACAAGGAUUCCCCUAGUAACGGCGAGUGAAGCGGGAAGAGCUCAAAUUUGAAAUCUUAAAGGGUUUCCCUUUACGAAUUGUAGUUUAAAGAAGUGUUUUCUGUUGGAGCUUCGGUAAAAGUUCUUUGGAAUAGGACAUCAUAGAGGGUGAGAAUCCCGUAUUUGACCGUUACUUUCCAGCUGUGUGAUACACUUUCAAAGAGUCGGAUUGUUUGGGAAUGCAGUCCAAGAUGGGUGGUAAAUUUCAUCUAAAGCUAAAUAUUGGCGAGAGACCGAUAGCGAACAAGUACCGUGAGGGAAAGAUGAAAAGAACUUUGAAAAGAGAGUUAAACAGUACGUGAAAUUGUCAAAAGGGAAGCGUUUGACACCAGUGUUGUUUAGUUGAAAAUCAAUUCAAUAGUUUUUGACUCUAAGUAGUAUUGACUUCAUCAGCUUGCUGCUUUCUUCUCAGAAAUUAUUGAAUGCACUUUUCAGUUAACAAGUCAACAUCAAUUUCUUUUGUUGUAAAAGGGUAAGAGGAAGGUGGCUUGCGCUUCGGCUCAAGUGUUUAUAGCCUUUUAUCUCUGCAAUCGGAGAGAUUGAGGUCUGCAGCGUAGAUCCUUCGGGGUUAGAUACAUUGGUGCUAAGCUAUAGCCUUGUAUAGACAACUUGUUGACUAUGCUCAGUCAUGUAGCUUACUCGCUGAUGCUAUUUUACCUACGCUUAGGAUGUUGAGUAGCGACAUACGCAC